AAAAGGGAGAAGAAAGGUGGAAAUUGUACAUCCGAGAGUAAUAGUACAGGUUAGGAGAAUGUCCGGCCCACAGGUCAUAACAUUCUGACAAAUUUGGUCCCCGGAAAGAUAUAGCUGAAUAGCCCUGCUCUAGAGGCUCCGAAG